rnacentral:rRNA from 1 species
CCUACGGGAGGCUGCAGUGGGGAAUAUUGGACAAUGGGGGGAACCCUGAUCCAGCCAUGCCGCGUGUGUGAAGAAGGCCCUCGGGUUGUAAAGCACUUUCAGUGAGGAAGAACGCCUGGUGGUUAAUACCCAUCAGGAAAGACAUCACUCACAGAAGAAGCACCGGCUAACUCCGUGCCAGCAGCCGCGGUAAUACGGAGGGUGCGAGCGUUAAUCGGAAUUACUGGGCGUAAAGCGCGCGUAGGUGGCUUGAUAAGCCGGUUGUGAAAGCCCCAGGCUCAACCUGGGAACGGCAUCCGGAACUGUCAAGCUAGAGUGCAGGAGAGGAAGGUAGAAUUCCCGGUGUAGCGGUGAAAUGCGUAGAGAUCGGGAGGAAUACCAGUGGCGAAGGCGGCCUUCUGGACUGACACUGACACUGAGGUGCGAAAGCGUGGGUAGCAAACAGGAUUAGAUACCCCUGUAGUC